rnacentral:rRNA from 1 species
AAUCAACGCUGGCGGCGUGCCUCAGACAUGCAAGUCGAACGCGAAAGUCCCCUUCGGGGGACAAGUAGAGUGGCGCACGGGUGAGUAACACGUAGGUAAUCUACCUUCGGAUGGGGAAUAACAACCGGAAACGGUUGCUAAUACCGCAUAAUGCAGCGGCACCUAAUGGUGACAGUUGUUAAAGCGGGGGAUCGAAAGACCCCGCGUCUGAAGAGGAGCCUGCGGCGGAUUAGCUAGUUGGAAGGUAAUGGCUUACCAAGGCGACGAUCCGUAGCCGGCCUGAGAGGGCGGUCGGCCACACUGACACUGACAUACGGGUCAGACUCCUACGGGAGGCAGCAGUCGGAAUUUUGGGCAAUGGGCGAAAGCCUGAUCCAGCCAUGCCGCGUGGGUGAAGAAGG